CCCACCUUCGUUGGGGAGUAGCCUGCUGCUGAGUGACAUCAGCAGCGUUCGUAUCAACAUUCUCGGCAGCAGCCGUGGUACGAGCACCUUUUGGUUGGCGAGACCAGCGACAUAUCCAUGCCUAAAGUCGGGCGUGUGGAUGUGUCGUUGACUCAUAGCCCGACUGGAAG
rnacentral:sRNA from 1 species